AGGGGGUAGUAUAAUGGGAGUACGCGGGGUUUUGAGCCCCUUGGUACAGGUUCGAGUCCUGUCUUUCUA
rnacentral:tRNA from 1 species